GGGGGUUUAGCUCAUUGGUAGAGCGCUUGCCUAGCAAGCGCAAGGCCCUGGGUUCGGUCCCCAGCUCCG
rnacentral:tRNA from 1 species